GUUGAAUUUAAACAACCGUCCACUGUACGGUUAUAAUAACUUUUUUUUGUUUCUCCAUUUUUGCACAAAAAAGUUCACAGAUGCGUGUCUCAAGCUGAUGGCACUCGCGCUCGCAGUGGUCCCAACCGGUCCGAGAUAUCGUGUCCGUGAGCAGUGUCUAUGUGUGCGUUGCUCGAGCGCGCUUUGUAUGUAGAUUGAUUUCUGUACCUAUCUAUUUUGCAUCUGAAGCAACCUAACGAACCUAUCCUACCUAUUACCUAUAUUGGUUUAAUGUGACUAUCGUCAAAACACACAGGAACAUUACGAUCUGCCUGAUCUUACGAUCGGCCGCCGACAUCCAUGUUUCAUAUUAAAUAUUUUUUUGUUUUAAUAAAUAUUAAAUCUUGCCAACAACACGAUUGUUAAUAUAUUUUGUUACUAUUAUCAUCAGUUAUUUUUAGUGUCUAAGGCACUAGACCAAAGUCUUAUUUAUACAUAAAUAAUAUCAAUUUACAAAAAUAGGCAAGCGUUUCAACAAUACUCGUAAGAUACAUAAGUUGUCAUAUAUGGGACAUUAUCUAUGAAAAGGGACCUUAUUGUCGAUGGCGCUUACGCCGCGCAGCGUGGCGCGGCAUUGUAUUUAUAUCGGAGCAUCGUUAAUAAUCGCGUAAGCGCCAUCGACAAUAAGGUCCCUUUUCAUAGAUAACGUCACAUAUGAUCACCGAUUACAGAUGUAGUGCAUAAUUGUUUUCCAUCGUAUUUUCUCGGAAACGUUCGUAUUCGUCACGCUACUUCAGUCAACGUCAGUACUUCUUGUACCGAGACUGACUGAAAUAGCAAGACACGUUCGUACGUUUCCGUGAAAAUACGAUGGAAAAUAAUUAUGCAUUACAACUGUACUUUUAUUGCCGUUCAUAAUAGGGGAUAUUACUGCAAUAUUCUGCCGCCAGAGUGCAGCACUACCGACUCAAUAAAUUCAUAGACUACCUUAUACAUACUGCGCCUUAAACUGUUUUUUGACAAGUUUUCACAGACAAUAAAAUAUGACAUUGAUGCAUCAAGCUGGUUUGUUAACAAGGGCCUACCGGGAAACGCGAAAAUCGAAAUUUAGUUAUCUGCCUCUUUAUCGCUCGAAUAUGCAAGAGUGAUAGAGAGAUUAGAUAACGAAAUUUCUAUUUUCUUGUUUCGCGGCAGGCCAUGUGUCAAUGUGGUUUGUUUACUGUAUGUGCGACAAAGGUGCCACCUACGCAGAGCUUUGCCUAAUAUUCCCUAUUGAAUACGAUAAAUCUGACAAUUUGAAGAUUAUCAUAACAUAUUUCAUGCUUAUUAUUUUGGAAUGUAAUGUACAGUCGAAAAUUUUAAUUUACGACCCAAUUUGUAUCUUGUCAAGUUGUCACACAGUGACAAUAGGCCAGGCAAAACAUCCUCCAGACUGAGCAUAGUCGCGCUACCCCCUCUGCCACGCAUACGGUAAUUUUACUCCACGUUCGAGUUGAAAGUGUCUUUGUGUGACGUCCGUGUCUUUGAACGGACCAAUCACGGCACGGGACUUCGCUCACCUCGUCCCGCGCACCCCCGCAUUUUUGGCAUCAUCGGUUGCAUGAAAUAAUUGCUCUCAACUCGGUCUAGAGGAUUCCUAGUCUAUGGGUAGUUAUAACAUUUAUUGAUUAACCAACCAAAUACAAAACCGCCUGGAUCAGCCACUGACCUGACUUUAACCUAUAUUAUUUGAUCGUGUAACGUUUUCAUCUACCCUCAACUGGCUUAAGGAACCAUUUGAGGGUAGAUUUUGUUUACUUUUAUUUAAAUACCUAAAGAUACAGACUAUAUGUCUAAUACAUAUAACGCACAAUGUGAUUAUAAUAAACAAAAAAGACAUGUUUAAUGUAUACAGUGUGUUUUCUGUAACAUGAGCAAUAAAUUAAACUGUAGGCUGUACUCCUCAAACUGACCAAUAUUAAAUUGAAAUGAAAUUAUAUCGCGGUAGACCCGUUUGUGUAAUUAAAUAUGUGACCAACAUUUGUUCAGUAACUUUUGAAAAUAACUCAUGGUUUGAUUUUUAUUACACUUCAAAGUUUAUUCUAAGACGCAAUGUAUUGCAAUUUUGUUAUGUUAAAAGCGUGAUAUAAAGUAACGUCAAACACACUGAUGUCAGCGUACAUUGAAGACAAUAUUUAUUUUGUAUGAAAAAGAGGAAGUCUAAAUGAUUCAUCAUUUUUAAAAGUUGCUGAACAAAUGUUGGUCAAUUUGAGGAGUACAGCCUUUAAUUUAAUUUAUUGCUCCUGUUACAGGAAGCACCCGGUAUAAAGUCCAUAACAAGAGUGAUACUCGUAUUAUAUUUUAGUCUUUUUUUAUACGAGAUUAAUAUAUUAAUAUUAGGUAUAAAUAAUUUAAAAUUUGUACGUUUACAAGUGAUUUAAGAUGCAUUUAUGUAUUUGUAUAUCGUAGAUAUUUGUAUAGCCUCGUGCCGCCCACCAUACAAAAUUAUAGGCAAGGAAGUUAGAAUCAUGUUGUAUUUUCAAUUAGGUUGAAUUUCAUUUAUUCGAAAAUUUUACGAGACAAACGAAAUGCUACCUACUUUGUAUUGAAUUAAGGUUGACAUUCCAUCGAAAAUUACUGUAUAUCCUAAUGUACAUUGGGCGGCGCGGGGAUAGAGAUUUUUUCGUGUGAUUUUGAUAAUAAAUAUGUAUCAAUGUGUGUUUGUA